UGGGCUUGACUAAUGCACCCUGUACAUUCCAAGCCGCUAUGAAUAAUCUUCUUCGACCCUAUUUAAGACAGUUUGUCCUAGUCUUUUUUUAUGAUAUUUUAAUUUACAGUCCUAUAUUGCAAGAUCAUAUUACUCACUUACAGAUUAUUCUGGAUCUCUUAGAAACUAAGCAAUUAUUUGUGAAGUUAACUAAGUGCAGUUUUGCAACCAAUCACGUUAAUUACUUAGGUCAUAUCAUUUCGCUUAGUGGUGUUGCCCCUGACCCAGAAAAAGUCAUUGCUAUACAUAACUGGCCACAACCACAAUCACUCGUGGAACUAAGGGGCUUUCUCAGUCUCACCGGCUUUUAUAGGAAAUUUGUUCAUCACUAUGCCACUCUCGUCGCUCCUCUCACCGACUUAUUACAUAACCAGAAAUUUAUGUGGCAUGUGACAGCUGAUACAGCUUUCACCGAAUUCAAAUUACAAAUUGCAAAGGUUCCUACACUACACCUUCCAGAUUUCAGUCAGCCCUUUGUAGUGGAGAAAAAUGCGUCUACAAUGGUCGUGGGGGCAGUGCUCAGCCAGAACAAUCACCCACUUUCGUUCUUCAGCAAGAAGAUGUGUCCACGACUCCAAGCGUCAUUCGUGUACGUAAGAGAGACGUAUGCAAUAACAGAAGCAGUAAAGAAAUGGCGUCAGAACUUACUAGGCCAACACUUCAAAAUUUUCACAGAUCAACAAAGUUUGCAUACAUUACUGUCACAGACAAUUCAAACGCCAGAACAAGAGAAAUGGACAACAAAAUUACAAGGGUAUGAUUUUCAAAUUUUAUACCGACCUGGAAAACAAAAUGUAGUUGUCGAGGCUCUGUCCCGCCAUGGAACACCAACACCUUCAUUGUUGUUCACUUCGUCUUCGCCGAUCCCCCUCUUAUUUCAAGAGUUACAACAGUUCUUCAAAACCUCGGAAGGUGCCCAGUUAAUCCAAUCUUGCACUCACGAUCAACAACAACCCAAUUUGUUCUCGGUCCGCAAUGGGAUGUUGUUUUUUCGACACCAACUAUUCCUACUAGUGUCCAAUAAAUUUAGAGAAAAGAUCCUCCACGAAAUGCAUGAGUCCCCAACAAAUGGUCAUUCCAGCCUCAAGCCUACCCUCGCCCAAAUAGCUGCCUCGUUUUAUUGGUCGGGAUGGAAGCGGGAUGUGAAACAAUUUCUCCAGCAGUGCGUCACUUGUCAAAGAAAUGAAUACAUGCCCUAAAAAAGUCAAGGGUUACUUCAACCUCUACCAACACCAGCACAAGUAUGGGAAGAUUUGUCUAUGGAUUUCAUAGCUCACUUACCUUCCUCUGCGGGUCACACAGUGGUUUGGGUCAUCUGUGACCGCCUCACCAAGUACGCCCAUUUUCUGGCUCUUCCCACGCACUUCACGGCACAACAACUCGCAAGGCGCUUUGCUGUGGAGAUCUUCCGCCUUCAUGGAAUGCCAAAAACCAUCGUCUCAGAUCGCGAUCCACUCUUUGUUAGCACGUUUUGGAGACAAUUAUUCAAAGCCCAGGGUACAACAUUAAAGUUUAGCUCCACCUAUCACCCACAAACGGAUGGGCAAACAGAGGUUUUAUAUAGAGGGCUCGAAGCUUACCUGCGAUGUUUCACGGAGGACCACCCGCACACAUGGUACCAAUACCUCCACCUCGCAGAGUUAUGGCACAAUACGACGCAUCACUCGGCUAUUGGCACCUCCCCCUUCCAUGCUCUAUACGGUCGUCCACCUCCCACCAUUCUUGAUUUGUUGCACACGCCUCGUGCCGACACCACCAUCUCGGAUCUGCUACACCAGCAUACCUUAGUGUUGCAUGCUCUCAAACAUAACCUCCGCAGAACUUGCCAACGCAUGUGCAACCAGGAAAAUCGGCAUCAUUCGGACCGCACGUUCAACGUAGAUGAUUGGGUCUGGGUUCGCCUCCAGCCAUACCGCCAACAAUCUGUGGAACGUCGUCCCUGUCAAAAAUUAUCUCCUCACUACUCGGGACCAUACCAAAUAAGUCGUCGCAUAGGCACCGUUGCAUAUGAGCUCAAGUUACCUCCCUCAUCUCGCAUCCACCCAGUGUUUCACGUCUCACUUCUUCGCCUUUUCAGAGGACCAACACCAUAUCCUUCCCCACACCCAAACUCCAUCACGAACAUUAACUCGACUACCCCCUUAAGUUCCCCAAUACAAACCGCACAUGACCCUCUGACUACACCGUCCUUACUGCCCAAUCAAAAUACGCCAACACAUCUAAUCCCAGCUUUUUCAAAAAAUCCAAGUCUUGAGCCCUACACUUCCCCUAAUCUUCAUAAAGCCCCAAC
rnacentral:lncRNA from 1 species